UUUAUAUAUAAUAUAUACUUGAUUUGAAAUUACUACGACGCAGGAUGUCACGAUAUACGCUUAAUUUGAAAAUGUUACUAUGACGAUACGUCACAAUAUUUUCUAUUCGUUUUAUAAUUGUAAACGUAUACUUAUUUAAUAUUAAGUACAAAAAAUGCAGUUGAAAUAGACGCAAGUUAUAAUCACCAGGACAGUGAUUGUGGCUCGCUCCUUCGACCGUGUCAAGUUUCGAGAAUCGCAAUAUUGCUGUUCGAUAGAUCUCGGUUAGUCACGAGCCGCGCCACGACGACAACGGAGUUGCGCUUGGCCGCUGCGCUAUUUUUCACGAUUAUUAGUCUCUGAAAGAGUGUUGCGUACAAAAAUCAUCUCUCAACAAAAUCCAUUUCUGCAUGCAUGCCCGACGUUGACCGAAACUUCUCUUGUACAACUUACCUCAUCUUCGUGCUGAAGUUUGCGACGCAGUGCGAUACAUGAUCGAUCAUCACCAGGUAUGUGCGUGGCGUCGUUUCUCUGAAAUUUGGUAAUCCCAUGAGAUCCAUGGAGAGAUUUCAAUGAUAUUUUCUCGACAAAUGUGACGAAAAUUGUUUUCUGUAAACUUCGAACGCUUCGUUAAUAAUAACGUAAUAGAAGAACGACAAAUAAUUGUAAAAUAAACUCCGCGACUGAUAAUUAUAUGCGAAGGUAUAAUAUCGUUUAGCGAUAAGCGGCUUCCGGUGUGACGGAACUGGUUUUCAAUGAUUCCCUAUAGCUCCGCCCCUGGCGGAGCACGACGCGAGGAGGAACGCGCGCGCGUUUCGUCAGAAAAGUAUCGUUGCGUUCCCGAGAGUCGCGUCGAGCAGACGCGAGCGAGCUGGUUCGUCGCCGCGCCCCGCGUCCGUUGUGUAUUUUUAACUUGGAGGAUCUAAUCCGUGGAUCUGCCCGCCGAGAGUACGUCCGCGCGUUCUAUCGCCGGAGCGUGUGUCUUGCGGAGCGUGUACGCGCGCCGGCAGUUCGGUCAGCGUCGAAGAGGAUCGCGCCGGAACGAGACGAGCCGAGGGUGCGAGUGAAAGAAGAGGAAAGAGAGAGAGAAGAGGAGAGACAGAGACGCUACGCGCAACAGGUGAGAUACGUGGCAGACGCAUUGGGCAAGCGUGCAUGCGAUCAGCUGAUUCGUCAUUCGCCGGAGGGUGAGCGUGGGAGCGAUCGCGAGCGCGCGGACCGGAUCGGAGCGGGCUGCAGCUGAUUUACUAACAUAGUAGCGCAAUAGGGUGAGCGUAACUGGGCACUAGAAGCGCAUUCACGGGUGAUAUAAUUCGAUCUUAAAAACUCUCAUUUUUUUCAUUACAAUCCGUCACCGGAAACGUUUAAAUUAUAGUUGACUCUAGGUGAAAAUUAGAUCAUAAUUCGCCGUUUCCUUCUAAUUUCGUCAUUUGGUCAUUG
rnacentral:sRNA from 1 species